ACCUAGCUAUGAUGUUUCAUACAUAUAAUCUGUGCUGUAGAGAGCAAAUAGUACUGGCCUUAUUUAGACAAAGAUGACCAAAGGAUCGAGGCUGCUUCAUGGAUUCCAUCAAUUCCAGAUAGCUUUGCUAUAGUGCUGAAGGAUCUAUUCUCUACUGCAGUUGUGCCAAGAAAAAGUCUACAGGCUAGUAAAAAUGCAAAAUAAAGAAUGACCACCCUGACUGCAAAGUUACUCAUUUUGUGCUCUGCAAUAUGCUGUUUUCACUCAUUAUGUUAUUUGUUUGUUCUUUGAGCUUCAGCAAGUUAGAACUCAACAACUUUGAAGGUUUAUAGAUCCAGUUGGGACUUUAAAAACUUAAGUGUGGCAAGUGGCUUGUGCCAUUUCUGAAGCUAGGGGCUAUUGGGCCUCCCCAGUCUGUCCAAAUUAACUGUGUGGCUUUAUACCAGAGCUGAACCCUCAAUAUGUGAAGUCCAUUUUGAAAAUUCUUGACUUCAGAUAUAUUUUAGAUUUUUAAUGUCUUAAUGAGUUAGUGUGAGGUUGCAAUCAUAAAAUCAUAACAUACUUGAUUACUUGCAUGUCUGUUUUGGGAAGAUCAUAGUCAUUCUGCGUGCUGUACACUUUGCCAAAGUUUUUUUUAACAGAUAUAAGUAUGAUCUCCCCUGUCACUAUCCAUUUUCUUCAACCGCGAAAGGAAUGAUGGAUACAUGGGAGGAGCUAGAUAUCCAUUUAAUUAAGAAGAAUAGACAUCCAAAACUUAGCCAAAGAGGACUCGCUUGUGUUGAAGGGCGUAUUGUAUAACCAAAUUCCUACAUUAUAUAAAAUAUUUACUUAUUUAAUUAUUUUUGUACGUCGUACUAUCCAUUUAUCAAGAUUGACCCGUGGGAAUUGUGGUGACUUCCUCACCAACGAAAGAAAAAGGAAUGACUCUGUCUGGAUUGUAAAUAAGAAAGAACGUCAAGACAAAGCAGGCAAGCAGUUCAUCCCUUUCCCAGUGUAGUCACACCUGUGUCUCAUAUACUACUACAUGGUAGUACACAUACUAUUUUAACACUUUAACUAUACUCAUAUACUGUUUAUAAGACAACCCAAACCAAAGUGAACUAUGUGAAAACAUUGCAUAUGAGUCCAUACUUCUUAGCAUAUUUUGAAAAUACCUUCAUAUCUGCACAUGCAAAGGAGUAUAAUAAAAAAAAUUCUACAUACUACCUACAAAGUAGUAUAUUUUAUUACCUACUAGGGUCUUCUAAAUUACAUGCUGCAUGUACACAAGUAACAUUGCACAUUUUCAUUUCACACGCAAUCACGUGUAAUUCACAUUUGGCGAAUUAGUUUUAUUCCUCGCAUGAAGGACAAAUCAUUCAUCAGGACCGGAUCAGCUCUUCAUUCUUCAUAUGGAGAAGACCGGUGAUUAGAUUUUGUUCUUUAAGCUUUAUCAUUUAGUGGGUAUGGAAUAAAUUCUUUUGAUGCUACACAAUUGCUCUACACUGGCAUAUACUACCUAUAUGGACUAGGUUAAAUAUUCUUGUUAAAUUGGAUGAGUGGACAUGGAUAACAUUUCUAGUUUCAUUCUGUAAUGGGUGGCUUUUACUAGUUCUUUGUGGCAGCGAAACACCCCUUUCAAUAUUUAGAAGGUUGCGUUCAGCUUCUACCUUCUAGGGUGCUGUUAAUGGACUAUUCCAUGUAUCUCAAUAAUUUUAUAUUAUUCUUGCUGAUAUAGACGCAAGGAACUAUUCCAUGUAUAUUUUUUCCUCAGAUUGACUGUAACCAUUUUAGAGAAAAUUCUAGACUAUACACAUCGUGCACUACCUUUAGAGAUGUAUUGUUAUUCAUGCAAAUUAAUAUAGUAUUUGUGGCAUCACUAUGCUUCUACAAAACUUUAGUCAUGAACUCAUGAUCAUAUCUACAAAAUUAUAAGUAUUAGUGGCUGAACUAUUUAAAAAAUAAUACUACAUGCCCUUCGAAAUUAGAGAUGACGCUGAUUGUGAUGAGGCAACGGUAAAUGAAAAGAAUAUGGGGUCAUAGAAACAGAUUAACGAGUUUUCUCGCCACCCACUGGAUCAGCAUUUUGUAAUUGCAUCACAUUAGGUAGUUGCCUUCCUAUGGUUUGCAAAUAUUAGUGAAUAAGAGGUGCCCUCUUUUCUGAGAAAAAUAUGAGGUAGCAUUGAUGGAGCAUUUCAUUGAAAAUAAUCAUUGUUUAUGUGGAGUUCUCAACCAUCUCACCCGAAAUCCCAUCGCAAAGUAUGAACUGGGUUCUGUUGAAGAAGUCAUAUUCGGUUUUGUCUUGCAAGAUGUCAUGGUCCUCAUAUUCUCUUUACAGAAUAUAUUUGAAGAUGGAGAUACGGAUUCUUGUGCUAGAACAAAUGUGGCACCACACCAUUAGGCCCACCAUGUGAACAUGUAGUAUGUGAAGAAGCAUGUGGACCUUUUAUGCAAGCAGUGCGCAUUUACAAUGAAUUGGCAACGCGGCUAUCCUUUUCUUUCAAAAUGUAGUAUCAUUGUAUAGUAGAUCAUGAUAAUUUUAACACCACAUCUUGCAACCUUCCAGUGCCGAUUGUGGGAGGAUACCCUGACUCUUAAUAUGGAGCUUGCUGCUUUUUACUUUCAUAUUUAUUUCUUGUAUUUAAUUAAAUGUUAUACUAAUAACAAAUGCCUGCUCAUUUACCCCUCUGGUACUGGCGGUGAACUUUGAUAUUUUGCAUUGCUUGAGAGCGUCAUAUCCAUCAGUUGACCUUUCAUUCCUGACAGAUGUGCAUGCAUGGCGAAUUUUGAUCUCGUUCAGCCUGCGGAAGAAUAUAACAAGCGACAGCCUUGAUGGGAGCUUCCCUUCAUUGCUACAUCCCUGAAAGAUGUCCUAAUUCGUUUUUGCAGCUCUCUUGUGGUGUUAGUGGCCUUACCACCUUUAAUCUGAACAUUUCAGAUUCUGCGUUUGUUGCGUCUACCGUAUCCCAGUAGCACUUAAAGAGAUUUAUUCUUCAUAAUGUUAGUGAUGAUGCUCAAGACACAACUGAAGCAGAUCACGCCAGAUUCUGGUCCUGUACUACUGUCCUUCUGCUUGCCGAUAGAGAUUAUCUUCUUUUGGUUCUCACAUCACACAGAGUGAUAUGGUAACAUUGGGUGUUAUGGUAAUAAAACUUACUUCACCAGAUGGCAAGAUGAUAUUCUGCAGCUCUUACUCCAUUGACGAGACUACUCCGUAGCCGUGGCUGCAUUUUUUUCGUAGGCCAGUAUGAAAACAACAUAUGCUGCAUACCUCAUUCUACUUAAUUCAUAAUUGGUGUACUUCCUACUUCUAAUGAGCAAAUGAGAACCAUGGUAGAUUGGUAACCUCCAUCUCUGGCCUUAGUAUUUGAAGCAAAUUAGCUUCUAGGUUUGACAAUCUAAGCUUUCUUGCCCCCUAAUAACUAUCACAAAUCUUGCCUCCCCCAAUCAACCUUUGAGAAGAAUAACUCAUCUCAUGGCCGGUCUCUUCGGUUGUAAGAUCGGCACUUUCCCCUUCACCUACCUCAGGCUCCCCCUUUGUUUACAAGCACUGCCUCGCCUCUGUCUCUUCAUUCCUCUCCCUGGGUAGGUGGUCUGUGAUCACCAAGAUCAUUCUUACAUUUCUCCCUACUUUUUUCUAUGUGCACCUCAAGCUGCUGGGAAGUGUCAAGAAAAUUAUUGACAGGUUCUGACAUAUUCAUAUAUUCCUUUGGGGUGACUCAGAUCUCUCAGGGAAGGCUAUACAAGGUCUGUAAACCUAAGGAUUGUGGUGACCUUUUUUUUUCUCAAACACACACUUUGUAUUAGAAGAAGCCAUCGAGAAAAUGGAAGAGUACAGGGCCAAAGCCAAAAGCAAAACAAGAAGUGAAAAAAGAAGGGUAAAAGAACUGUGCACGGCCAGCACUUGCCAGCCGAACCUCUAAGCAUCAGGAGGGCGAGCAUAUGGAGUGGCAGGCAAUAUAGUGCUUUGGCACCAGCAAGCAACCACAAUCUAGCCUCAUCAAGGAUGGAAUGGACAAGCUCCAGGCGAUUGGGUGUAGCUCUAUUGAAGACACGAUCAUUGCGUAGUUUCCAGAGACGCCAAAGGACAUGCAUGCGUGGCCAUUGGUCAUCUUCUUCAGCCCGCCGAAGAACGCGACAAGCGACAACCAUGCAUGGAUGUUGUGGUGAUGUUCUUGAGCCUGCUUAAGAACACGACACGCGACAACCACAAUGAUUUUACAGUGACCAUGGCAUUCCUUGGCUGAACUUGUUUGGAGAUACUACAUUUCUUCAGUUCCUCAUGUUGCUUGGCCUGCAAGCUCCUUUUGGUAACGUGAUGUCUGCAAAAUCUUCAAUCUGUUCAAAAACAUCGCUAUAUGUUCAGUCUCCCAGGGUAAUUCAGUUUUUUCUGGCGCAAUCGCUGGACAGGUAGCUCUAUUCAAUUCAGUUCUCGAUUCGCCAUUCUUUUGCCAUUGCACAUUUGCCUCUGUUAAUAAUGUGCUCUCUUUUUCCUGAGCCCAUUGACAUCUUCCAUCUUACCACUUAUUCUCAAGCCUUCGAUGAGAGUACACCUGGGGAUAUAAUGAUAGCUGGCUCUACACCUGGGGAUCACUCUUCUACUCGUCCAAGAAAGUUUGCUCCUCAACUGAUACUCAUGACACAAGGAUGGUACAAUGUAUGGGAAUAAUAAUGUUGGCGUAUGGUGGAAAUUGCAAGUUGAUCUUAGGUAUGCACCUGCAAUCUGCAUACACAUGUAUGGCCCAUAUGGAUGUAUAAGAUUUGUGAUUGGGAAAGGUUCAGAAAGUUCUCCUUCCUUUCAAGUGUGCAGCUUCAUUUUAUACCAAUUACAAAUUGGAUUUUGCCCCAGGAGAUCAUACUCUUUUGCGAUUUACUAGAGUGUAGAACGGGAAUUUUAAAUGUCUAAUGUAAAUUUCGACAUUCCUGAGAACAAGUUUCUUAUACAAGAA